rnacentral:rRNA from 1 species
UGGGGAAUUUUCCGCAAUGGGCGAAAGCCUGACGGAGCAAUGCCGCGUGGAGGCGGAAGGCCUACGGGUCGUCAACUUCUUUUCUCGGAGAAGAAACAAUGACGGUAUCUGAGGAAUAAGCAUCGGCUAACUCUGUCCCAG